GUUUACACUUGGAAUCUUGGUAAGUGGUCAGGUUGUGUUCUUACCUUAAAGGUAAGAUUUCAAGGAUUCACCUGUAGAUAGGAUGUAUAAUAUGAGAAAGUGAUGCAUCAGAAUUGAUUUCUAGCUCUUUUUGUCUCAACGGUUUACAAGGGAAAAACUGGAGGUGGCAGAGAUUGGCGAAGAUGAGGAAUUUAGUUUGGGACAGGAGUGAUCCAGGAACGCAGGGCAGUCUGUUGCUGCAGGUGAGCCAGAGCCUUGCUGGAACGAUGCCCUCAAGGAGGCGAGAGAAGGAUCUAGUGCACAAGUGGAGGGACUGGACAGGAGCGAGGAACAGGAAGAAGGCAAACCAUGAGAGCAGGGCUGGCAGUGCAGUGAGGAAGCUGCAGUGAGACAGGCACGGGUCUCGUCCCCUCUCCCACGUGUCCUCGCCACCCUGGGCCUGCCCCGGACCCACGCUGCAGAGCGUCAAGCUCACCUCCAACGAAGAGCUCGAUGCCGCCCGCAGCUUCGAUCUUCUCUUCAAAGGCGUCACACUCAGCCUGCAGGUCAGGUG